AUGCGUCUGGUGAGGUUCCUGCUUACUAACACCACAGCUAAACUUGGCGUUGUAAUAAUCUAUUAAAAAAUAAGCCAGCCAGUCCUCAGCCUCGCAACUGUGAAUUCUCAGCUGAAUAAGGAAGUAUUUCAUUUUGUUUAAUUUGCAUAUUCAUGAAAUGCAAAUAUCAGAGUGGUAGGAAGUGUAUGGGGGAGGUGCCCCCAGCAGAAAACACUUGGUUGAAAAGUUGAUCACUGUGCCUUGGUGUGAAGGGCAUGAAGAUGACAGACGAAGAGACAUAAGGUCUGAUGAAAUUCAGAGGCAGUUCAUUCCAAAGAUCCAAGGACAGACAGAAAUGUGACAGCAGACACGUGGCAGCAGGCUAAGUGGGUGGAAUGAAGAGACACGUCUUUGUUUAAAGUUCAUUUGAGACUGGUGUCAGUAGAACAGCAGCGAGAGGGAAGGCGGAAAAACGUUGGCAGGAAAAGCGCUGAUCUUCACAUCACCCGUGGGGGAGCCUGCUGCAAAUCCAAACAUGUCCUUCAAAACUCACAUGCACAACUCUUUGUUUCUGCAGACAGCUCUGCAUGUUGGAGAAAACCGUGAUCGAGGUGCCAUGCUGCAAGCAAUGAUCUGGCCCUCACCAGAUGCCAACCUACCAGCACCUUCAUCUUGGACUUCCAGCCUCCAGAACCAUGAGAAAUCAAUUUCUAUUAUCCAUAAAUUACCCAGUCAAUGGGAUUUUCUUAUAACACCAGAAAUGAAUUAAGACAGCCCCAGAAGUUCCUAUAAGUCCAUAAAGAAUCCAGAACUUA